CGUAAAUAAAUAAAAUAAAAUUUUUUAUUAAAAUUAAAAUCAAAACCAUCAUGUGCUAGCAUAGACAUGAAAAUCAAAUUUCGACUAGCUACAGGAAUAAAAAAAUAAUUUUUUAAAUCUAAUCUAAAUUUUGAUGAUAAUCGAAGAGGAUAAGUGUCAAUAAUUUUUGCAGUAACUUUUGCUCCAUUGUCGAUCUGAAGGAUCAUGUCACAUUCUCUCAACCUCCUACUUUCUA
rnacentral:lncRNA from 1 species